rnacentral:tRNA from 1 species
AGGACUUUAGUUUAAAAGUAAAAUACUCUCUUUGCACGAGAAUGAUGGAAAAUCCAGGUCUUA